GAAAAUUCAAGUACCGAGAAAAUGGGCAAGUCCUUCAAGUCCAACAGGAUCGCUGAAGUAACCAACGCCAACAUCCAUUGAAGCAGAACACUGAACAAAAUUUAACCGGUAAGAGAAAGAAACGAUUUCUGUUAAGAAAAAAAAAAAAAAACGAAGUCGAUUGAUUAAAUUGAAUUUGGAAACUCAAAAAUGCAGCAGUACCUUAUCGGUAUCGGGAUCGCUAAUGAGGAGAACCUCAAGCGAGUUUUUAAGGACGAUCCGCCGAUACUCUCUCUUAUCAUUACGCGGCUUCACUAUCUCCACUUCCUC
rnacentral:lncRNA from 1 species